rnacentral:rRNA from 1 species
AGAGUUUGAUCCUGGCUCAGGAUGAACGCUGGCGGCGUGCCUAAUACAUGCAAGUCGAACGAGGUGCUUUUGUAGCAAUACGAAAGUAUCCUAGUGGCGAACGGGUGAGUAACGCGUUGGUGACCUGCCCCAAAGUGUGGGAUAACAGUCCGAAAGGAUUGCUAAUACCUCAUGUGGUCAUCGGGUUUAGAAACCGAUGACUAAAGUGGCGCUUCGGCGCCACGCUUUGGGAGGGGCCUGCGUCCCAUCAGCUAGUUGGUGAGGUAAUGGCUCACCAAGGCGACGACGGGUAGGGGACCUGAGAGGGUGGCCCCCCACAAUGGAACUGAAACACGGUCCAUACACCUACGGGUGGCAGCAGUAGGGAAUAUUGCUCAAUGGGCGAAAGCCUGAAGCAGCAACGCCGCGUGCGCGAUGAAGGUCUUCGGAUCGUAAAGCGCUUUUAUGAGGGAUGAGAAAGGACAGUACCUCAGGAAUAAGUCUCGGCUAACUACGUGCCAGCAGCCGCGGUAAAACGUAGGAGGCAAGCGUUAUCCGGAUUCACUGGGCGUAAAGCGCGUGCAGGCGGUUCGGUAAGUUGGGCGUGAAAUCUCCUGGCUUAACUGGGAGAGGUCGUCCAAUACUACCGGACUUGAGAGUGAUAGAGGAAGAUGGAAUUCCCGGUGUAGUGGUGAAAUGCGUAGAUAUCGGGAGGAACACCAGUGGCGAAGGCGGCUUGCUGGGCCAACCCUGACGCUGAGACGCGAAAGCUAGGGGAGAGAACGGGAUUAGAAACCCCGGUAUUCCUAGCCGUAAACGAUGUCAACUAGGUGUAGGUGGUUAUUGACCCCAUCUGUGCUGUAGCAAACGCGUUAAGUUGACCGCCUGGGGACUACGGCCGCAAGGCUAAAACUCAAAGGAAUUGACGGGGACCCGCACAAGCAGCGGAGCGUGUGGUUUAAUUCGAGGCUACGCGAAGAACCUUACCAGGGCUUGACAUAUAACUGGUAGUGAAGCGAAAGCGGAACGACCCUUCGGGGAGGUUAUACAGGUGCUGCAUGGCUGUCGUCAGCUCGUGCCGUGAGGUGUUAGGUUAAGUCCUGUAACGAGCGCAACCCUCGUCGUUAGUUACAAGUGUCUAACGAGACUGCCGGUGAUAAGCCGGAGGAAGGUGGGGAUGACGUCAAGUCAGCAUGGCCUUUAUGUCCUGGGCUACACACACGCUACAAUGGCCGGUACAAUGGGCAGCCAAGCCGCGAGGCGGAGCCAAUCCCGAAAAGCCGGUCUCAGUUCGGAUUGUAGGCUGCAACUCGCCUGCAUGAAGUCGGAGUUGCUAGUAACCGCGCGUCAGCAACAGUGCGGUGAAUACGUUCCCGGGUCUUGUACACACCGCCCGUCACGUCAUGGGAGUUGGCAACGCCUGAAGUCGGUGGGCUAACGGCGCGAAGCGCUGAGGCAGCCGCCUAAGGCGGGGUCGGUAACUGGGACGAAGUCGUAACAAGGUAACC